CCUACGGGGGGCAGCAGUAGGGAAUCUUCGGCAAUGGACGAAAGUCUGACCGAGCAACGCCGCGUGAGUGAAGAAGGUUUUCGGAUCGUAAAACUCUGUUGUUAGAGAAGAACAAGGAUGAGAGUAACUGUUCAUCCCUUGACGGUAUCUAACCAGAAAGCCACGGCUAACUACGUGCCAGCAGCCGCGGCAAUACGUAGGUGGCAAGCGUUAUCCGGAAUUAUUGGGCGUAAAGCGCGCGCAGGUGGUUUCUUAAGUCUGAUGUGAAAGCCCACGGCUCAACCGUGGAGGGUCAUUGGAAACUG
rnacentral:rRNA from 1 species